rnacentral:rRNA from 1 species
GCAGGGAAUUUUGCCCAAUGGGCGCAAGCCUGAGGCAGCGACGCCGCGUGAGGGAUGAAGGCCUUAGGGUCGUAAACCUCUUUUCUCAGGGAUGAGCAAGGACAGUACCUGAGGAAUAAGCAACGGCUAACUACGUGCCAGCAGCCGCGGUAAUACGUAGGUUGCAAGCGUUGUCCGGAAUCACUGGGCGUAAAGGGUCUGUAGGUGGUCUGUUAAGUCUCCUGUGAAAUUUCCGGGCUUAACCCGGAACGGUCGGGGGAUACUGGCAGACUCGAGGCCGUCAGAGGGAAGCGGAAUUCCCGGUGUAGUGGUGAAAUGCGUAGAUAUCGGGAGGAACACCAGUGGCGAAAGCGGCUUCCUGGGGCGGUCCUGACACUCAUAGACGAAAGCGUGGGGAGCAAACCGGAUUAGAAACCCUUGUAGUCC